AGCACUGUCACAAAGAUCAGCUAUCUCAUUGCAGUCCAAGAAAAACUGUCGCCGAACAGGCGGUUUCCAGCCACGAGGCUUCAGAAGAUGGGAUAUCACCUUUUUAGGAACACUGUUGAUGGACAUUUGACGAUCCAAUAGUUUCCUUGCUGCUGUUGCAUUUUCUGGUGUUCCAUAACUAACUCGCCUGCCUUCAUUUUCAAACUGA
rnacentral:misc_RNA from 1 species